AACGAACGCUGGCGGCAUGCCUAACGCAUGCAAGUCGAACGAGACCUUCGGGUCUAGUGGCGCACGGGUGCGUAACGCGUGGGAACCUGCCCUUAGGUUCAGAAUAACUCCCCGAAAGGGGUGCUAAUACCGGAUAAUGUCUUCGGACCAAAGAUUUAUCGCCUUUGGAUGGGCCCGCGUUGGAUUAGCUAGUUGGUAGGGUAAAAGCCUACCAAGGCGACGAUCCAUAGCUGGUCUGAGAGGAUGAUCAGCCACACUGGGACUGAGACACGGCCCAGACUCCUACGGGAGGCAGCAGUGGGGAAUAUUGGACAAUGGGCGAAAGCCUGAUCCAGCAAUGCCGCGUGAGUGAUGAAGGCCUUAGGGUUGUAAAGCUCUUUUACCCGGGAUGAUAAUGACAGUACCGGGAGAAUAAGCUCCGGCUAACUCCGUG
rnacentral:rRNA from 1 species